rnacentral:rRNA from 1 species
CAAUAGCGUAUAUUAAAGUUGUUGCGGUUAAAAGCUCGUAGUUGGAUUUCUGCCGAGGACGACCGGUCCGCCCUCUGGGUGAGCAUCUGGCUCGGCUUGGGCAUCUUCUUGGAGAACGUAGCUGCACUUGACUGUGUGGUGCGGUAUCCAGGACUUUUACUUUGAGGAAAUUAGAGUGUUUCAAGCAGGCACACGCCCUGAAUACAUUAGCAUGGAAUAAUAAUAUAGGGCGUAAGUUCUAUCUUGUUGGUUUCUAGAACAUACGCAAUGAUUAAUAGGGACAAUUGGGGGCAUUCGUAUUAACGCGUCAGAGGUGGAAUUCUUAGAUUGCGUUACGACGAACUACUGCGAAAGCAUUUGCCAAGGAUGUUUUCAUUGAUCAAGAACGAAAGUAUGGGGAUCGAAGACGAUUAGAUACCGU